UUCCCGCCAUCGUCGUAAUUAGUUGACUUGGCGAAUGAAUUCAUAAAACAGCGUGAACGAUCGCUCUGGAAAAUAUCGCCCAUUCCGUUGACUAAGUUGCCGUUUAAAUAAAGCCGGCAAAUUUUUACCGGGCACACCGUCUUCGACGAGAGCGGGCGAUAAUAGUAAAUAAUUGGCGACAAAUGCUUUUCUAGGGUUUUCCCCUUUUAAAUUUGAUUUUAGCGGAUUCAAGGUCUAUAAUUAAUUCCGAUUUAUUUUUUAGAUGUGCGGAGGAGCAAUGGAAUUCGACCUGAUCUCGUGUUCGAAUUGGCAGAGGAGAAUUUAUAGCGGGCAGCCUGUUGAGUUGCCCCAAUUAAAACCUGGAGCGUCUCUGCGGCGAUUUGUAUGUUUGUAAAAUUUUUAUAUUCUUUAUGGAAACUGUCUGUUUGUUGAUUGGAUUAUGAGAGAGAAUAGCUCAUUAUUAUUGGUGAGCGUGAUCAGAGGACUCGGCUGUCAUGGUAGUGGAUCAGUUUUGUCAUCUGAAUGUUGCUUCUAUCUGGAGAAACAACAAUAGUAGUAGUAAUACUAGUAAUUUUAAUUCGGUCAAGAACAGUGAAGAAGACGGAGUAGGGUUCAACAUGAACAAGGUGAUUUUGGAAGGGUGGAUGGUGCGUUAUGGCCGCCGGAAGAUCGGGAGGUCUUUUAUUCACAAGCGCUAUUUUGUUCUCGAAUCGCGAGUUCUUGCCUAUUAUAAGAGAAAGCCAUUGGAAAAUGAGGUCCCUAUCAAGUCUCUUCUUAUUGAUGGGAGUUGUAGAGUGGAGGACCGAGGGUUGGAGACACAUCAUGGGCAUGUAGUCUAUGUAUUAUCUGUUUACAAUAAGAAAGACAAAUCACAUCGGAUAACGAUGGCUGCAUUUAAUCUCCAGGAAUCUUUAAUGUGGAAAGAAAAGAUUGAACUUGUGAUUGACCAGUAUCAUGGUGCGUUAGGAAAUGGAAGCAAGGGAUAUGCAGCUGUUGAGUACAAGUCAAAUAUAGAUAACGAAAGGAAUGCUUCGUCAUCAGAGCAUGACAGUCAGUUAAGUGCACAAGAAUAUGAAUGUGAGAAUAGUCAAAGUCUUAGUCGAAGUCUUGACCGAAGAACAACAAUAGGAAAUGGUCCACCUGACUCGGUUCUUGAUUGGACUCGUGAAGCUGAGUCAAGUUCAACUUAUCAAAAUAAUCAGGAUCAACCAUUCUCCAGAAAGCAUUGGCGAUUGGUUCGAUGCCAAAAUGGUCUUCGGAUCUUCGAAGAGCUUCUGGAGGCUGACUACUUGCCACAAAGUUGUAGUAGACCAAUGAAGGCAGUAGGUGUCGUGGAUGCUACAUGUGAAGCAAUUUUUGAGCUUAUAAUGGGGAUGGAUGAAACUCGAUACGAGUGGGAUUGUAGUUUUCAAUAUGGAAGCUUGGUAGAGGAGGUUGAUGGGCAUACUGCCAUUCUUUACCAUAGAUUGCAGUUGGACUGGUUUCCAACGUUUGUGUGGCCACGUGAUCUGUGCUAUGUGCGCUACUGGCGACGUAAUGAUGACGGAAGUUAUGUUGUCCUAUUCCGUUCAAGGGAACAUUCAAACUGUCCUGCACAGCCUGGUUUUGUGCGAGCUCACAUUGAUAGUGGUGGGUUCACCAUAUCUCCACUGCAACCUCGUAAGACUGGAGAGCCUCGAUCCCGUGUCCAACAUCUUAUGCAAAUUGACUUGAAGGGAUGGGGUGUUAGCUAUUUCCCUAGAUUUCAGCAGCAUUGCCUACUUCAAAUGUUGAAUAGUGUUGCGGGCUUGCGCGAAUGGUUUUCUCAACGAGAUAAUAGUCUUGCAAUGCCACAUAUCCAAGUGAUGACAAACAUGCGCUCAGAAUUGGAAUCAUCGAAGAAGGGAAGGAAACGACAACAAGGAUUCGUUCAAUCAAGCUCACCUUUGGAUUCAAUGCCUGUAGAGUGUGAUAUUCCAGAGGAAGAUUCUGAUGAAGAUGAAGAUUUCCAAUUGCCCGAUCAAGAGAUGGAUUCGAGAAAACUUCAAAAGGAAAGCAAAAGCACAGGUGUAGAAUUAAGUUUGAGUGAAGUAACCAGAACUGUGCAGGAAGAAACAACUGAUGCUCUUGAUUUAUCAUGUUUCCAUGGUACAUUGCGGCGAGAUGAUAGAGAUGCAGGUCGUGACUGCUGGGCUAUUCCAGAGGCAAACAAUUUUCGAGUUCGAAGCAAGAAUUUCUCCUUCAACAAAUCUAAGGUCCCUGCAGGACAAUAUUUAAUGCAACUUGUUGCAGUUGACUGGUUUAAGGAUGUGAAACGGAUAGACCAUGUUUCUAGACGAAAGGGUGGUGUAGUGCAGGUUGCGGCAGAAAAGGGAUUGUUUACUCUUGUUAUCAACCUUCAAGUGCCAGGAUCAACACACUAUAGCAUGGUCUUUUAUUUUGUAAUUAAAGAGCUUGUGCAGGGAUCACUAUUGCAGCGUUUUGUAGAUGGUGAUGAUGAAUUUCGGAAUAGCAGGCUGAAACUUAUUCCCUCUGUUCCAAAGGGUUCUUGGAUUGUUAGACAGAGUGUGGGAAGUACCCCUUGUAUUUUGGGUAAGGCAGUUGAUUGUAAUUAUUACCGUGGACUGAAGUACCUGGAGGUAGAUGUUGACAUAGGUUCGUCAACUGUUGCCAAUGGAGUGUUGGGUAUAGUAUUGGGUGUUGUGACAACAUUGGUGGUUGACAUGGCUUUCCUUGUUCAGGGAAAUAACCCAGAGGAGCUACCUGAACGCUUGAUUGGUGCUGUGCGCAUAUCACAUCUUAAGCUUUCGAGUGCACUGGCACCCUGGUUGGAAUCCGGUGCAUCAUAGUCUUCACAGUUCAUUGUUGGAUGUUGACCUUUUGUGUUGGGGCUUCCUGAACAUUUGCCAACUAAAUAGGGUUUUUGUUAAAGUUUGGCUUUGCAGUUUUGACCGUAGUCUACAUCAAGCUUGGGAAUAUGCGUGAUGGUACAUGGUAAUUGGCUGAGUUUUGCUUGCUCCAUCAAAGAAGAAUGCCUAAUUGACAUUCUUGUGCUUGUGUGGCAAUGCAUGAAGAGUAUUUCAUCAUAUGGAAGCUGUGUAGUUGCACCUUUGAGCUUUAUGUGUUCAUAUUUCAUGAUUUGAGGUGGCACAAAGUUCAAUUAUUCAAAUUGUGGCUAUCUUACUGUACUUGGAGAAUACAGACUCAUCUCAUGACUUGAAGUGAAGAAAGAGGUACUGGCGUUAUUUGGAUUCCCAAGGUGCAGGUGUGCACACUUGCUGAUAUGGGGACAUGAUGAUACUUAGUGAAGAUGCAAUUCUUGGCAUAAGAGUAGAAUGCUUUCUGAUGCUUAGGAAUUGAUGAAAAAGGGUUGUAGAAGAUAACUGUUUCACGACAUUGAUUUAAUUGAGUUUCUUCCCUUAAUGGUUUGUUUUGAUAAUUACCUAUGCAAACCAAAGGUUUAAGGCUCAUUUGAGCUGUCAGUGAGGUGGGAGGCAAAAGGAUAGAGCUUGGAUAGAGAAUUUGAAGUAGAAUUGAAGAUUUGGGCAGAAGGCCCAUUCCAAGGGUGAAUCCAAGUAGUUGAGAUUGGAAGUCAGGGGGUGUAUCAGUGAGGAUCUGACUGUGCAUUGCUUAUGGUGUAAGUGAAGAGUUGAAUUUUUGUGGUAUUGCUCACAUUGAAAAUUGUUCUGUAAUCAAUAUGUAGACUGGUAAAUAGUUCGUAGUGGAGUGCAUUGAGUUGGAUUGUAAUACCUUGUUUUUUCUGUGGUAAGGCUUCAAGGUGAUUGUAAUACCUAGAAGCUCAGUGUACUUAUUCUAGAUGAAAUAAAUACAUCAUUUUCUCUA